rnacentral:tRNA from 1 species
ACUUAAAUAUUUUAUUUUAAAAUUAUGAUUUGUGGAGUCAUAGAUGUUGUUCUAACUUUGAGUC